AUUGAACGCUGGCGGCAUGCUUUACACAUGCAAGUCGAACGGUAACAGGCCGCAAGGUGCUGACGAGUGGCGAACGGGUGAGUAAUAUAUCGGAACGUGCCCAGUCGUGGGGGAUAACGUAGCGAAAGCUACGCUAAUACCGCAUACGAUCUAUGGAUGAAAGCGGGGGAUCGCAAGACCUCGCGCGAUUGGAGCGGCCGAUAUCAGAUUAGGUAGUUGGUGAGGUAAAGGCUCACCAAGCCGACGAUCUGUAGCUGGUCUGAGAGGACGACCAGCCACACUGGGACUGAGACACGGCCCAGACUCCUACGGGAGGCAGCAGUGGGGAAUUUUGGACAAUGGGCGCAAGCCUGAUCCAGCAAUGCCGCGUGCAGGAUGAAGGCCUUCGGGUUGUAAACUGCUUUUGUACGGAGCGAAAAGGCUUCCACUAAUACUGGGGGCUCAUGACGGUACCGUAAGAAUAAGCACCGGCUAACUUCGUGCCAGCCGCCGCCGUAAGAC
rnacentral:rRNA from 1 species